rnacentral:rRNA from 1 species
GUAGGGAAUAUUGGGCAAUGGAGGCAACUCUGACCCAGCCAUGUCGCGUGCAGGAAGACGGUCCUCUGGAUUGUAAACUGCUUUUGAAUGGGAAGAAACGUAGCUUUGCGAAGCUAUUUGACGGUACUAUUAGAAUAAGCACCGGCUAACUCCGUGCCAGCAGCCGCGGUAAUACGGAGGGUGCAAGCGUUAUCCGGAUUUAUUGGGUUUAAAGGGUGCGUAGGCGGCUUUAUAAGUCUGGGGUUAAAGGCGGCAGCUUAACUGUACGCAUGCCCUGGAAACUGUGAAGCUUGAGUGACUUGGAGGUAGCUAGAAUUCCCUGUGUAGCGGUGAAAUGCAUAGAUACGGGGAGGAAUACCGAUUGCGAAGGCAUGUUACUACGAGUAAACUGACGCUGAUGCACGAAAGCGUGGGGAUCAAACAGGAUUAGAAACCCGAGUAGUCC